GGGUUGUGAGGUUAAGCGACUAAGCGUACACGGUGGAUGCCCUGGCAGUCAGAGGCGAUGAAGGGCGUGCUAAUCUGCGAUAAGCGCCGGUAAGGUGAUAUGAACCGUUAUAACCGGCGAUACCCGAAUGGGGAAACCCAGUGUGAUUCGUCACACUAUCAUUAACUGAAUCCAUAGGUUAAUGAGGCGAACCGGGGGAACUGAAACAUCUAAGUACCCCGAGGAAAAGAAAUCAACCGAGAUUCCCCCAGUAGCGGCGAGCGAACGGGGAGGAGCCCAGAGCCUGAAUCAGCAUGUGUGUUAGUGGAAGCGUCUGGAAAGGCGCGCGAUACAGGGUGACAGCCCCGUACACAAAAGCGUAUGUGCUGUGAGCUCGAUGAGUAGGGCGGGACACGUGGUAUCCUGUCUGAAUAUGGGGGGACCAUCCUCCAAGGCUAAAUACUCCUGACUGACCGAUAGUGAACCAGUACCGUGAGGGAAAGGCGAAAAGAACCCCGGCGAGGGGAGUGAAAAAGAACCUGAAACCGUGUACGUACAAGCAGUGGGAGCACCCUUUGGGGUGUGACUGCGUACCUUUUGUAUAAUGGGUCAGCGACUUAUAUUCUGUAGCAAGGUUAACCGAAUAGGGGAGCCGGAGGGAAACCGAGUCUUAAUUGGGCGUUAAG
rnacentral:rRNA from 1 species